rnacentral:rRNA from 1 species
GCAACCUGCCCUGGACUCUGGGAUAAGCGCUGGAAACGGCGUCUAAUACUGGAUAUGAGACGUGAUCGCAUGGUCGUGUUUGGAAAGAUUUUUCGGUCUGGGAUGGGCUCGCGGCCUAUCAGCUUGUUGGUGAGGUAAUGGCUCACCAAGGCGUCGACGGGUAGCCGGCCUGAGAGGGUGACCGGCCACACUGGGACUGAGACACGGCCCAGACUCCUACGGGAGGCAGCAGUGGGGAAUAUUGCACAAUGGGCGGAAGCCUGAUGCAGCAACGCCGCGUGAGGGAUGACGGCCUUCGGGUUGUAAACCUCUUUUAGCAGGGAAGAAGCGAAAGUGACGGUACCUGCAGAAAAAGCGCCGGCUAACUACGUGCCAGCAGCCGCGGUAAUACGUAGGGCGCAAGCGUUAUCCGGAAUUAUUGGGCGUAAAGAGCUCGUAGGCGGUUUGUCGCGUCUGCUGUGAAAUCCCGAGGCUCAACCUCGGGCCUGCAGUGGGUACGGGCAGACUAGAGUGCGGUAGGGGAGAUUGGAAUUCCUGGUGUAGCGGUGGAAUGCGCAGAUAUCAGGAGGAACACCGAUGGCGAAGGCAGAUCUCUGGGCCGUAACUGACGCUGAGGAGCGAAAGGGUGGGGAGCAAACAGGCUUAGAUACCCUGGUAGUCCACCCCGUAAACGUUGGGAACUAGUUGUGGGGACCAUUCCA